rnacentral:misc_RNA from 1 species
ACACCCUCAAGCCUGGCUUGGUAUUGGGCUCCCGCCCGAGUGGGCGGGGCCUGGAACGCCUGCGGUGGGCGCUGGUCCCCUCUCUUGCACCAGAAGGAGCAUCUUCACGCAGGAGGGGGCCCCAGCCGCCGUCCGGAAAGCACCAAUC